CCUACGGGUGGCAGCAGUGAGGAAUAUUGGUCAAUGGGCGAGAGCCUGAACCAGCCAAGUCGCGUGAGGGAGUACUGCCCUAUGGGUUGUAAACCUCUUUUGUCGGGGAGCAAAAGCCGGACGUGUCCGGCUGUGAGAGUACCCGAAGAAAAAGCAUCGGCUAACUCCGUGCCAGCAGCCGCGGUAAUACGGGGGAUGCGAGCGUUAUCCGGAUUGAUUGGGCGUAAAGGGUGCGUAGGCGGCCUGCUAAGUCUGGAGUGAAAGGUACCGGCUCAACCGGUACAGGCUCUGGAAAGUGGCGGGCUAGAGGGCAGGAGAGGGCGGUGGAACUCCAUGGGUAGCGGUAAAAUGCGUAGAUAUAUGGAAGAACACCAGUGGCGAAGGCGGCCGCCUGGCCUGUUGACUGACGCUGAGGCACGAAAGCGUGGGGAGCAAAUAGGAUUAGAUACCCUUGUAGUC
rnacentral:rRNA from 1 species